rnacentral:rRNA from 1 species
CGUAGUUGGAUUUCUGGUACGCUGCGCCUGGCCCGCCCGCGUUAGCGGUGUGAGUGUCGGUGCGCGGUUGCCAUCCUUCUAGAGAACGUGUCUACCUUUAAUUAGGCCGGAUACGGGAUCUAGAUCAUUUACUUUGAAAAAAUUAGAGUGUUUAAAGCAGGCUUUUGCUAUGAAUACAUUAGCAUGGAAUAAUAAUAUAGGACUUUGGUUCUAUUUUGUUGGUUUCUAGGACUAAAGUAAUGA